UUUAGGUCACAUGUAGGAGUCAAACAGGGUUGUAACUUAAGUUCUACUUUAUUCAACCUAUUCAUUAAUGAUCUACCUGAUAUAUUUGACAGGUCAUGCACUCCAGUAAAAUUAAAUGAUACAAAUCUAAGCUGUUUGCUUUAUACGCAGACGACCUAGUCUUAUUAUCCGAAUCCAGGGCAGGAUUAUAAAAUUGCCUCACAAAACUUGUUUACUAUACCAAAAAGUGGAAGUUAAACAUUAAUCUUAAGAAAUCC